GCGGGUGUAACUCAGCUGGUAGAGUUUCUGCCUUCCAAGCAGAAUGUCGAGGGUUCGAGUCCCUUCGCCCGCUCCA
rnacentral:tRNA from 3 species